rnacentral:sRNA from 1 species
UGCAGAAAACACGAGUACUGUGCACGCACUGUGUUUGCAAGGGUCACCGUGAAUCGUGGCCUGGUGCAGCCGGAUCGUUACAGAUCUCGCUUCAUCGUUCCGCUUUACCAACGCCUGCAACUCAGUCUCAGCUCCGGCUUUUCGGAUGCUGCGAUUUAUCCAUUUAUAGUUUCAGGAGUUAGUAAAAUGUCAGAACGUAUGAACGGUACUGUGAAGUGGUUCAACGAUGCCAAGGGCUUCGGCUUCAUCACCCCGGAAAGCGGCCCGGACCUGUUCGUGCACUUCCGUGCCAUCCAGGGCACCGGCUUCAAGUCGCUGCAGGAAGGCCAGAAGGUCACCUUCGUUGCAGUGCAGGGCCAGAAGGGCAUGCAGGCUGACCAGGUGCAGGCGGUCUAAUCCGCCUGCAACCGUAAGGUUGCCAAAAACGCCGGUCGCGCAAGCGACUGGCGUUUUU